rnacentral:other from 1 species
AGGUCGCAGGACGUGGCUUUCCUCAGGAUGGGGAAAUACUCAGGAAGAGAGUGAGUUGGCGCGGAUAGCCGACUGACAGGGAUAGUAAAGGACACGGUAGGGAUAUCGUCGGCAGACAGGAUGUUGGUCGGUCAGGAAGACAUAAGGAACACUUCAGGAUGAAGUUAAAGGACACCUCCAGGAUGGAUGAGAGAGUCGGAACAGGAUGAUUCGACGGGUCAUGGAACCACCGAAGGACAACUCUGGGAUAGAGAUUAGGGAUUACCUGAAGGAAACAGCAUUAUCAAGGAUUGAUGCAGGGAGCAACAUAGUAGCGGGAUAGCUGCAAGUAAGACCUAAGGGCGUGACGAAAGUCACGCCCGUUCUUUUUUCA